rnacentral:lncRNA from 10 species
GGAAUUCAUUCCUGACUACCAAACGGACUGCUAAUGGCAGAAGUAGUUAACCUAAAAAACACAGGAUGUACAUAGAUGCUAAUUUAAUACAAGGGUUUUGUAGAGACACAAAUGAACCCAAACUUUGGUGUUUUUGAGUAUUAGAACUCCAAGCGAUAACUGAAUAUCAAUUUUAAUGUCCUUUAACCACCCUCCCAUCUCAGCUCAGAGACCCUAACUCCAACUGUCAGUAGGCCACACCCUUGACCUUAACCCCUCCUGCCUCCUUCAGGAUUAUCCUCUGUCACGCAUCCCUUCUCCCUCCCAUCUCUUAUCUCCCACUCUGCCAACUCCUCUCCAUCCUCCAGGAAACAUAUUCCAAUUAUCCUAGCCUUAAAAAGGAAAAACCUGUUAGAGAUUUCCCCUGUAUAUUUUAUAAAAACCUCCAGUUCAACAUGUCCCAAACCAAACACACCAUUUUUUUCUCCCAUCCCUGCCUCCUCCUGUUCACUGGCUCAGGUGUCCUCCCAGUCAUCAGGCUGGAGACCUCUGGGUUCCCCUGGCUCUUCUUUUACCCCUAGCAGCGAAUCAACUACAAAAUCCUAUUUUACAAGCAAGCUGCAUCCUCAUUCCACCAUGAGCAGUCAAAACUUCCACACCCCAGGUUGGUGCCCACACUGUCUUCUGUUCGGAAGGCCAGCCCCAGGUGAGGAGAGUGCUGAAUAGAAAAAAGCUCCAUUUCAAAAUCUGCCAUUUACCAGCCUCGACCUCAGUUUCCUCACAUGUGAAAUAAGGGGUUACACAAUCUCUGAGGCUUUAUGAUUCUCUAGAUGCAAUUCCUCACCAUGUCUGCAUGUCCCAAAGCCUGUGUAUCCUUCAAGAUCCUUCUCCUCUCAAAGCAUUCUCUGCCUCUCUCCCUGCCACCCCAACUAGAAGUAAUGUCUCCCCACUCUGGAUUACCGUCACAGUUUCUGUAUUUCUUUCAGGGCAUAUAGGGCAUUUUACUUAUCUCCCUCAUUAUAUGAACUGCCACAAACUCUUGGAGGGAAGAGUUCAUGUCUUGCGCUUUUUCUCCUUUAGAUUCUCCUUGUAUGUAGUAGGUGACCAUGAUGUAGUCAUUGAAUGACUGAAUGACUGCAAAAUCUUCCCCACUGAUGAAAAAGCUGCAGGAGCUUCUCAUUUCCUCCUGGCUGCUGUCCUGACACAGGGCUGGAAUAGCUUGUCUCUUCUGAGAACUAGAAUAAGGGGUGGGCCAGCCUGGCAGCUGCUGAGAGUGUUGGUCUAUAAGGGGCUCUAAAACACCUCCAGGACAGCAACAUCUGACCAGAUAUGCAAGGAGAUGAUGGAACUCCUGUGCAUGGCAAGAAGAAUGUCCUGGAUAAGCUGCUCGGGGUUAGAGGAGACACUUCCCUCCCCAACAAGGCAAUACUUCAUUAACAAUAGAAGUCAGUCCAAUGGCGUCUGAGGAAUGUGGGUCUGGUUAUCUGUGGGGUUUUAGUUUUGUUAGUUGCGGUGUGCAAAUUAGGUGCCGCCCGCCUUGCUCUUCCUCUCCACACACAGGGCUCAGCCUGUCCUCAAAAUGAAAGUUCAGUAAGUAUUUGAAGACUCAGUUUGAGGGACACCUGCUGUGGGCUGGCUCCGGGUGCCCAUCCCUCUGGCCCUGCUCCUUCCCUGCAAGGGUAGAAGAAUUCCAGCUACCCUUCCAUUCUUCCAGCUCCUUGACUGCCCUUCAGUGGAUUAGGAUUAUCUUCAUUCUUUGGCUUCUGCAUUUUCCCUUCCAAAUUCUACCCAUUCUUCAGGGCUGGGCCCACAUUCUACCUCCUCUACACCUCCUCCACCCUUGAUCACUUCAUAUAGCACUGGUUUCUCUCUGAUUUGAAGGCCCAAAGUGGACUUUUUAUUCCUUCCCUAGGCCAAACACUUUACAUCAGAGUCCGUGAAGAUGGUAUCACUAUGUACUUCUCGUUCACAGAGGCUAAGGCUUGCCGUGUCUGCACGUCACAGUCUGGAUUCAAACUUGGAUUUAGGCUGCAACACACUUGCUGUUUUCACUGCCAUCAUGCUUCUCCCUGGUCUGUCAUACAAAUCAUUGUAGCUAGGGGUUGUAGCCAACCGGCCCCUGUAUGUCCAGGACCAAGUGCCUGGUUCAUGGUGAUUGCUGGAUACAUGCAUAAUAACUGAAUAAAUACUUAGC